rnacentral:rRNA from 1 species
GAUCAUGGCUCAGGACGAACGCUGGCGGCGUGCCUAAUACAUGCAAGUAGAACGCUGAAGAGAGGAGCUUGCUCUUCUUGGAUGAGUUGCGAACGGGUGAGUAACGCGUAGGUAACCUGCCUUGUAGCGGGGGGAUAACUAUUGGAAACGAUAGCUAAUACCGCAUAACAAAUGGAUGACCCAUNUCAUUAUUUGUAAAGGGUCGAAUGCUCACUCAAGAUGGACCUG